rnacentral:rRNA from 1 species
AGGCCUAACACAUGCAAGUCGAACGGUAGCACAGAGAGCUUGCUCUCGGGUGACGAGUGGCGGACGGGUGAGUAAUGUCUGGGAAACUGCCCGAUGGAGGGGGAUAACUACUGGAAACGGUAGCUAAUACCGCAUAACGUCGCAAGACCAAAGAGGGGGACCUUAGGACCUCUUGCCAUCGGAUGUGCCCAGAUGGGAUUAGCUUGUAGGUGAGGUAACGGCUCACCUAGGCGACGAUCCCUAGCUGGUCUGAGAGGAUGACCAGCCACACUGGAACUGAGACACGGUCCAGACUCCUACGGGAGGCAGCAGUGGGGAAUAUUGCACAAUGGGCGCAAGCCUGAUGCAGCCAUGCCGCGUGUAUGAAGAAGGCCUUCGGGUUGUAAAGUACUUUCAGCGGGGAGGAAGGGAGUGAGGUUAAUAACCUUAUUCAUUGACGUUACCCGCAGAAGAAGCACCGGCUAACUCCGUGCCAGCAGCCGCGGUAAUACGGAGGGUGCAAGCGUUAAUCGGAAUUACUGGGCGUAAAGCGCACGCAGGCGGUCUGUCAAGUCGGAUGUGAAAUCCCCGGGCUCAACCUGGGAACUGCAUUCGAAACUGGCAGGCUGGAGUCUUGUAGAGGGGGGUAGAAUUCCAGGUGUAGCGGUGAAAUGCGUAGAGAUCUGGAGGAA